rnacentral:rRNA from 1 species
UCGGGAAUUUUGGGCAAUGGGCGAAAGCCUGACCCAGCAACGCCGCGUGAGGGAUGAAGGCCUUCGGGUCGUAAACCUCUGUCGGGAGGGAAGAACGUCAUCCGGGCGAACAGUCCGGGAGGCUGACGGUACCUCCAAAGGAAGCGCCGGCUAACUCCGUGCCAGCAGCCGCGGUAAUACGGAGGGCGCAAGCGUUGUUCGGAAUCAUUGGGCGUAAAGCGCGUGUAGGCGGCUUGGUCAGUCGGGUGUGAAAUCCCGGGGCUCAACCCCGGAACUGCACUCGAUACUGCCUCGCUCGAGUCCCGGAGAGGAAGGCGGAAUUCCCGGUGUAGAGGUGAAAUUCGUAGAUAUCGGGAGGAACACCAGUGGCGAAGGCGGCCUUCUGGACGGUGACUGACGCUGAGACGCGAAAGCGUGGGGAGCAAACAGGAUUAGAUACCCCCGUAGUCC